rnacentral:rRNA from 1 species
UACGAAGGGUGCUAGCGUUGUUCGGAAUUACUGGGCGUAAAGCGUGCGUAGGCGGCUUAUCAAGUCAGGGGUGAAAUCCUGGGGCUUAACCCCAGAACUGCCUUUGAAACUGAUAAGCUGGAGUCUCGGAGGGGAUAGCGGAAUUCCUAAUGUAGAGGUGAAAUUCGUAGAUAUUAGGAGGAACACCGGUGGCGAAGGCGGCUAUCUGGACGAGUACUGACGCUCUGGCACGAAAGCGCGGGGAUCAAACAGG